UCUAGUGAGAAUCAUUGUAUUGUUGUAGACUAGUCUAGAGAGGUUCAUUGUAUUGUUGUAGACUAGUCUAGGGAGGUUCAUUGUAUUGUUGUAGACUAGUCUAGGGAGGAUCAUUGUACUGUUGUAGACUAGUGCAGGUAGGAUCAUUGUAUAGUUGUUGACUAGUCUCGGGAGGAUCAUUGUCUUGUUGUAGACUAGUCUAGGGAGGAUCAUUGUAUUGUUGUAGACUAGUCUGGAGAGGAUCUUUGUAUUGUAUUGUUGUAGACUAGUCUAGGGAGGAUCAUUGUAUUGUUGUAGACUAGUCUAGAGAGGAUCAUUGUAUUGUUGUAGGCUAGUCUAGUUGAGGAUCAUUGUAUUGUAUUGUUGUAGACUAGUCUAGGGAGGAUCAUUGUAUUGUUGUAGACUAGUCUAGGGAGGAUCAUUGUAUUGUAUUGUUGUAGACUAGUGUAGAGAGGAUCAUUGUAUUGUUACAGACUUGUCUAG
rnacentral:lncRNA from 1 species